GCAAAUAUAGUUUUAACUCAAACAUUAGAUUGUGAUUCUAAAAAUAGAAGUUCAAAUCUUCUUAUUCGCC
rnacentral:tRNA from 1 species